AGAGCGAACGCUGGCGGCAGGCCUAACACAUGCAAGUCGAACGAACCCUUCGGGGUUAGUGGCAGACGGGUGAGUAACACGUGGGAACGUGCCUUUUGGUUCGGAACAACUCAGGGAAACUUGAGCUAAUACCGGAUAAGCCCCUAGGGGGAAAGAUUUAUCGCCAUUAGAGCGGCCCGCGUCUGAUUAGCUAGUUGGUGAGGUAAAGGCUCACCAAGGCUUCGAUCAGUAGCUGGUCUGAGAGGAUGAUCAGCCACACGUGGACUGAGACACCGGCCAG
rnacentral:rRNA from 1 species